CCCAUUGAGAUGCGAACUGUGUUCGUAGCUCUUCUUAGAGGGACUGACUACGUUUAGUGGUCGGAAGUUUGAGGCAAUAACAGGUCUGUGAUGCCCUUAGAUGUUCUGGGCUGCACGCGCGCUACACUGACAGAGGCAGCGAGUAUACAACCUUGACCGGAAGGUCUGGGCAAUCUUUUUAAACUCUGUCGUGCUGGGGAUAGAGCAUUGCAAUUAUUGCUCUUCAACGAGGAAUUCCUAGUAAGCGCAUGUCAUCAGCAUGCGUUGAUUACGUCCCUGCCCUUUGUACACACCGCCCGUCGCUACUACCUAUGAAAUGGCAAA
rnacentral:rRNA from 1 species